rnacentral:rRNA from 1 species
AGUCGAGCGCGCCUUUCGGGGCGAGCGGCGGACGGGUGAGUAACGCGUGGGAACGUACCCUUCGGUGCGGAAUAUACCAGGGAAACUUGGGGCAAUACCGCAUACGGUCUACGGACGAAAGAUUUAUCGCCGAGGGAUCGGCCCGCGUUGGAUUAGGUAGUUGGUGGGGUAACGGCCCAUCAAGCCGAUGAUCCAUAGCUGGUUUGAGAGGAUGAUCAGCCACACUGGGACUGAGACACGGCCCAGACUCCUACGGGAGGCAGCAGUGGGGAAUCUUGGACAAUGGGGGAAACCCUGAUCCAGCCAUGCCGCGUGAGCGAUGAAGGCCUUAGGGUUGUAAAGCUCUUUCGCCUGGGAAGAUAAUGACGGUACCAGGUAAAGAAGCCCCGGCUAACUCCGUGCCAGCAGCCGCGGUAAUACGGAGGGGGCUAGCGUUGUUCGGAAUUACUGGGCGUAAAGCGCGCGUAGGCGGACUGGAAAGUUGGGGGUGAAAUCCCGGGGCUCAACCCCGGAACUGCCUCCAAAACUGUCAGUCUUGAGGUCGAGAGAGGUGAGUGGAAUUCCGAGUGUAGAGGUGAAAUUCGUAGAUAUUCGGAGGAACACCAGUGGCGAAGGCGGCUCACUGGCUCGAACCUGACGCUGAGGUGCGAAAGUGUGGGGAGCAAACAGGAUUAGAUACCCUGGUAGUCCACACCGUAAACGAUGAAUGCCAGACGUCGGGCAGCAUGCUGUUCGGUGUCACACCUAACGGAUUAAGCAUUCCGCCUGGGGAGUACGG